UACGGGGGGGGCAAGCGUUGUUCGGAAUUACUGGGCGUAAAGGGCUCGUAGGCGGCCAACUAAGUCAUACGUGAAAUCCCUCGGCUUAACCGGGGAACUGCGUCUGAUACUGGAUGGCUUGAGAUCGGGAGAGGGAUGCGGAAUUCCAGGUGUAGCGGUGAAAUGCGUAGAUAUCUGGAGGAACACCGGUGGCGAAGGCGGCAUCCUGGACCGAUACUGACGCUGAGGAGCGAAAGCCAGGGGAGCAAACGGG
rnacentral:rRNA from 1 species